rnacentral:lncRNA from 1 species
CAAAAAGCCAUUCGGGCUCCAAAAAGUGCUCUAACAUAAAGUAUUACGGAGGGCGAUUAGAGCUCAAAAAGCUGCUGAAAGGGGUCCGAGGUGCUCUACAUUGAGGCUCCGUUUUAGCAAGGGAGUCAGCUGUGGUGUUAGCCUACCUCUAAAUAUAUGCUGAUAAACAACGUACAUAUCCAUGAAAAGGUCAAAGAUCUCAUUAAAGACAUGAACCAAUCUCCAAGGGUAGGGAGAUGAUCUGGAUGCCCAAGCUAUGACGUUUGAAUCGCCCUCAAUGAUAAGGGUGGCGCUCCACGAUGGAACAAAUUUGUGGAUGCCCAUGAGAAAGGCUAAUGCUUAGGCCAUAGCAGAGUUUGUGUGUCCAACGAAGAGGGAAUAAGAUAGAAGAGUAUUUUCAAUGGAGUCUCUGAAAAUUCCCCCUAUUCCGGCAAGGCCUGGUUUCCAAGGGAGCAGCCAUCGAAAAUGAGCAUCACUUGGCCUGGCUCAGGUGGUCUUCAUAGCAAAGAACGAGAGACCCUAGCUGGUCUAGGGGUCAGCAGAUUUUUCUAAUUAAGGUGGAAGUCCGCAAAGGAAUAAAGUUGGAACAACAUGUGGUUUCACCUCUAAAGAUCCGAUUGUUACGCUCCAACCAAAUAAUCCUAAGUGUUGCAGCAACGGUGGCACGCCACAGGUAAUUGCCUGUGGCUGGACUAAGGUGGAGAGAUGAAGGCCCGGAUGAGUUGGGGUAUAUGGAGCAAGGGGUUACCAGACCCAACCGAAACGUUGAAGAAGAAGACCCCACAGGAAGCAGGCAACACGGCAGUGAAUAAAGAGGUGUGCUUCAGUUUCCUCUUCCUCCCUACACAUAGAUCAUCUGUUAGAGAGCUGGUGGCCCCUUCUUUGGAGUUGGUCUACCACAAGAGCUCUCUCAAAGAAAGCCAGCUAAAUAUAAAGAGGGCUGAAGAUUGGAUGGGGGAGUAGGUUGGCAAGCUUUGUAGAAAGUAGUGACUGAGAAAAUACCCGUGGGGGCUGGUGAAGAAAAAGAAAAACAAGAUAGAGAAAUAGAGUUGGGGAAAAUUUCUUGCAGAAGUCAAGCACCGUUCUACGCUUGGCUGCGUCUCCCAGCAAACAUUUUCAACACACCCUAAGGAAUUACCCACAAGCAAAAAAUUUCAACACACCCCAAGGAAUGAUAUAUAAAAUGAGAGAGAGGGGGAGCGAGAGAUUGCUUGGCCUGAAAGGGAAUUACCCACAAGCAAACAUUUUUAACACACCAUAAGGAAUGAUAUCAAAUUAGAGAGAGAGAGAGAGGGAGAGAAAAAGGACUGCAAGGAAGAAUAUACAAUGAUGAGACACUCCUGCAAACAAAAGAAAUAGAAAAACAAGAUAGAGAAAUAAAAAAACGAGAAGAAGAGAGAGAGAGAGUGGAGAAUCUUCUGCACCAAGCAAACCAAGGAGGAGGGAGAGAGAUCAUGGAGAGAGAGUGAGUAGAGAAAGAGAGAGAUCUAGCUGGUUGAUUGCAAGUGCUCAGAUUGGGGUGGGAGGCAGCCACUGGAUGCAGACAACAAAGCUGGGGUGAAGAUGCGGCCAAGGUAGAAUGGUGGAUCGUCGGGUCUAUUUAUGGAGAGUAGGAGAGAGAAAAGUUCAUAAG